CCUACGGGGGGCAGCAGUCGAGAAUCAUUCACAAUGGGGGAAACCCUGAUGGGGCGACGCCGCGUGGGGGAAUGAAGGUCUGCGGAGGGUAAACCCCUGUCAUGUGGGAGCAAAUUAAAAAGAUAGUACCACAAGAGGAAGAGACGGCUAACCCGGUGCCAGCAGCCGCGGUAAUACAGAGGGCUCAAGCGGUGUUCGGAAUCACUGGGCGUAAAGCGUGCGUAGGCUGUUUCGUAAGUCGUGUGUGAAAGGCGCGGGCUCAACCCGCGGACGGCACAUGAGACUGCGAGACUAGAGUGAGGUAGGGGGAACCGGAAUUCUCGGUGUAGCCGUGAAAUGCGUAGAUAUCGAGAGGAACACUCGUGGCGAAGGCGGGUUCCUGGACAUUAACUGACGCUGAGGCACGAAGGCCCGGGGAGCGAAAAGGAUUAGAUACCCGUGUAGUC
rnacentral:rRNA from 1 species